GACAGUGGUCCUGUUGAUGUCACCGAU
rnacentral:piRNA from 1 species